rnacentral:rRNA from 16 species
AAAUUGAAGAGUUUGAUCAUGGCUCAGAUUGAACGCUGGCGGCAGGCCUAACACAUGCAAGUCGAACGGUAACAGGAAGCAGCUUGCUGCUUUGCUGACGAGUGGCGGACGGGUGAGUAAUGUCUGGGAAACUGCCUGAUGGAGGGGGAUAACUACUGGAAACGGUGGCUAAUACCGCAUAACGUCGCAAGACCAAAGAGGGGGACCUU